rnacentral:snRNA from 1 species
GUGCUUGCUUCAGCAGCACAUAUACUAAAAUUAGAAUGAUAUGUAGAAGAUUAAUUUGGCCCCUGCACAAGGAUAACAUACAAAUUUGUGAAGUGUUCCAUAAAAAA